CUCUCCUAGAGCUGGAAUACACUGUUCUCCUGCCCUUGGACAUAAAAACUCAAGGCUUUCCUGACGUAGGACUCCAGGACUUACACCAGCAGCCCACCAAGGUUCUUAGGUCUUCAGAUUUGCACUGAGCCACGCCACUAGCGUCCCAGGGUCUCCAGCAUGUCGAUGAUCUACGUCUAUAUAUCUAUAUUCCAUUAGCCCUGUCUCUCUGGAGAACCCUGACUAGUACAGAGAGGAUCACGAGUAAGCAAGCAGGGCACUGACCUUGGAUGGGCCACUUGACCUCACAGGGGUCUGGUUUUCUGGAGACAAACACCACACAGUGAUGGAGAGAACCUCGUGACAGAGCCUUGCCCAGGUGCACGUGGGGCGGAGUUCAUCACAGCGCUGGCUGGUUUGUUGAAAAGGAGGCCCGGCGGCUGUUCACUGUCUUGACAAACAGCCAGAGAGGCAGGGGAACCCUACACUGUAUACUUUUCUCAGUAAUAAACCAAGCUAUUCAUGAAUAAUGUCCAGAGUGUGUCCUCAAAACAGCGUGGCCCUCAUGGUGCUCAAUGCCCUGUUAGACUCCAAGCAACCCGAGGACAGGGUUUUGUGUCUCUCUUGCUCACCUUUGCUUCUCCAAUGCCCAGUGGGCCUUCAGGGCGCAUUUGCUGAGUGACUCCACAUUAUUCCAUAUUCACGGUAGAAUCUGUUGCAUAAGGUCAGGAUAAGUCCGCACAGUUACUUGCAACGUGGCUCUUUCAACUGUUAGCAGGUUCUGGACUCCAAAGCCUACAUAAUGUUAUGUGAGGUUGAGAGGAAAAUCAUAAGCAUACUUGCAACCUAUAGGACUCAGGUAGUAAGCUUAUCCUGGGGGUGGAAACCCCCACUGCCAAGAGUCC
rnacentral:lncRNA from 10 species